UUAGGGUCGCUGUGCUGUACAAGUCGGCUUUCCUUUCAUUUCCAAGACUAUGUUUUUAUAUACACCAAAGUAUGUUUAAAGAAUGUCAUCAAUAGGAACUUGUUUCCUAUAUAAUUAUACAACUUUCAGCAACGGAUCUCUUGGCUCUCGCAUCGAUGAAGAACGCAGCGAAAUGCGAUAAGUAAUGUGAAUUGCAGAAUUCAGUGAAUCAUCGAAUCUUUGAACGCACCUUGCGCUCCUUGGUAUUCCGAGGAGCAUGCCUGUUUGAGUGUCAUUAAAUUCUCAACCUUCCAGCUUUUUAUAAGCUUGGUUAGGCUUGGAUGUGGGGGUUGUGGGCUUCAUUAAUGAGGUCAGCUCUCCUUAAAUGCAUUAGCGGAACUUUUGUGGACCGUCUAUUGGUGUGAUAAUUAUCUACGCCGUGGAUGUGAAGCAGAUUUAUGAAGUUCAGCUUCUAACCGUCCAUUGACUUGGACAUUUUUGACAAUUUGACCUCAAAUCAGGUAGGACUACCCGCUGAACUUAAGCAUAUCAAUAAGCGGAGGAAAAGAAACUAACAAGGAUUCCCCUAGUAACUGCGAGUGAAGCGGGAAAAGCUCAGAUUUAAAAUUCUGGCAGUCUU
rnacentral:rRNA from 1 species